AUUGAACGCUGGCGGCAGGCUUAAUACAUGCAAGUCGAGCGAGCGGCGGACGGGUGAGUAAUGUCUGGGAAACUGCCUGAUGGAGGGGGAUAACUACUGGAAACGGUAGCUAAUACCGCAUACCUUCAGAUGUGCCCAGAUGGGCUUAGCUAGUAGGUGGGGUAAUGGCACACCUAGGCAACGAUCCCUAGCUGGGCUGAGAGGAUGACCAGCCAACCGGGAACUAGGAAACGGUCCAGACGCCUACGGUAGGCAGCGUUGGGGAAUAUUGCACAAUGGGCGCAAGCCGGAUGCAGCCAUGCCGCGUGUGUGAAGAAGGCCUUCGGGUUGUAAAGCACUUUCCGCGAGGAGGCGUUACUCGCAGAGGAAGCACCGGCUAACUCCGUGCCAGCAGCCGCGGUAAUAC
rnacentral:rRNA from 1 species